UUUCUGGUGGGACACUCAUUAGUGGCGCACGCUAGGUGUUCUCUUGGCGCGUUUGUUGUGUUGCUGGCAUUUUAAACUAAUAAAUGUUGACUGCUUUGAAAGUCAGAGAAUGGAGGUACAGUAUGAUCACGGCCUGCGUCUGGAUGGAGAGUGAACUUCUGAAUCUGAAUCCAGCAAAUGCUCCCUGACCUUAGUUCAUGUUUCCUGUUUGGUUAUUUUUUUGGGAACCGAUUCCUCAGGAACUGAUUGUCCAGCCCGUGACGUAGACACUGAUCAUCAUGAAGAAUCAGGUCUUUUUAUUAGCUUUGCAGUUUAAAUCUUGCUUAGAAAUGUCUUGGCAAAAUCAUUUUUUUCAGUGCCAUUCAUCAUACUGUAUGUACAUAUAAUCAUGUCCACAAAAAUGUUUGUAUUUAU